rnacentral:antisense_RNA from 1 species
GGGGAGAAUGGCUUCCGGCUACUGCACACCUAGACCCGCCGGGCAGGGAGAAUGGCUUCCGGCUACCGCACACUGAGACCCGCCGGUGCGGGCUUCCUGGGACUUCCAUUCUUGAUUUGUUGGGGUGACAGUGCCAAGCCUCCCCUCCCCUCUAAGGUCAGAAAAACAAUGAGCAACGUGUGUCAAUGAGGGCAGCAGCUUCCAAACGGACACCUGGGGAAACCUGGAAAUCUUCAGUGAUGUUUUGGUGGAGUGGGAACCUCUAUAAAACCCUCCAGCGGCUGCUCCAGUCGGUCCACUGCAGUGCUUGAUUUUGUGAAGAACCCUGUGGAAUGUGGUCUCUGGCAACUGAGAAGUGCCUUCCUUUUCCAUCAGCACAAAGCAAACACGUGAAGGGAGCUGGGGUUUCUUGCCACCAUUUCGCCUGAGACCCCUGAAAGCUGCAGCCCACUCUGCAAAUACUUUUCUUGGCCCUGGAAGUAGAGGGAAGU